rnacentral:rRNA from 1 species
AUUGAACGCUGGCGGCAGGCUUAACACAUGCAAGUCGAGCGAGCAGCGGACGGGUGAGUCAUGUCUGGGAAACUGCCCGAUGGAGGGGGAUAACUACUGGAAACGGUAGCUAAUACAGCAUAGCAUCAGCUGGGCCCAGAUGGGAUUUGCUAGGAGGUGGGGGAAUGGCUAACCUGGGCGACGAUUCCUCGCUGGUCUGAGUGGAUGACCGGCCACACUGGACGUGAGACGCGGUCCAGUGGCCUACGCGAGGCCGCAGUCGGUAAUGUUGCACAGCGGGCGCAAGCCUUAUGCAGCCAUGCCGCGUGUGUGAAGAAGGCCUUCGGUUUGUAAAGCACGUUCAGCGAGUAGGCGUUACUCGCAGAAGAAGCACCGGCUAACUCCGUGCCAGCAGCCGCGGUAAUUC